AUUCAUGGAGAUGAGCAGCUCAGAGUUGCCAGCCGCUGCAAGGAGGUUGGAAGGUAAGGUCGCUGUUAUUACGGGAGGUGCCAGCGGCAUUGGCGAGGGCACGGCCCGCCUCUUUGUCCGCCAUGGCGCCAAAGUUGUUAUCGCCGACAUCCAAGACACUCUUGGCCAUACAGUUUGCACCUCCCUCGGCCCUGCUGCCUCCUACAUCCACUGUGACGUUACCAAGGAGGAUGACAUCAGUGCUGCUGUUGACCAUGCCGUUUCCACAUUCGGUAAACUCGAUAUUAUGUAUAACAAUGCAGGCAUUGGCGGUGACACUGAUCCCUUAAUUACCGACAACACAAAGGCGAACUUUGACAGUGUCAUUGCCAUCAACCUAAGAGGGCCAUUUCUAGGAAUCAAGCAUGCUGCCCGUGUAAUGAUACCAGCGGGAAAGGGCAGCAUUAUCAGCACUUCGAGUCUGGCAGGGUGUAUAGGUGGGGCAGCGUCGCAUGCCUAUACUGCAGCGAAGCACGGGGUGGUGGGACUGA
rnacentral:misc_RNA from 1 species